AAUUCAGUGAAUCAUCGAAUCUUUGAACGCACAUUGCGCCCCUUGGUAUUCCAUGGGGCAUGCCUGUUCGAGCGUCAUUU
rnacentral:rRNA from 2 species